rnacentral:tRNA from 1 species
UCCCUUGUAGCUCAGUUGGUAAAGAGUCUGCCUGCAAUGCAGGAGACCCAGGUUCAAUCCCUGGUUAGGGAA